AGGAGUUUUUGCUCUAUUUGCUUACCUGAGAGUUGGUUGUUUGAAAGGGCCUGGUACCUCUCCCCUCUCUCUCUUGCUCCCUUCCUCUUGCUAAGUGAUGCCUGCUCUCCUUCAUCUUCUGUUGUGAAUGGAAGCUCCCUGCAGCCCUCACGAGAAGCAGAUGUUGCCACCUUGCUUUUUGUACAGCCUGCAGAACUGUGAGCCAACUAAGCCUCUUUUCUUUAUAAAUGACCCAUUCCUCAGGUGUUCCUUUAUAGCAAAUGCACUGAGAUAACGCCCAACCUCCCUGUGACUAUGCUUCUGACCCACUGCAGCUUCACUGGCUCCUUCCUCACUCUGAUUCUUCACCUGAUUCACUGCUUCCUAUUCUAAUGGCUUUCCUGUUACCAAGAAGAGCUCAGUAUCCACCUAUCUCCCCAAAGGCCUCCCUCUCAUGCGAACUGAAAAAAUCUUGGCUGGGCGCAGUGGCUCAUGCCUGUAAUCCCAGUACUUUGGGAGGCUGAGGCAGGCAGAUCAUGAGGUCAAUAGAUUGAGACCAUCCUGGCCAACAUGGUGAAACCCUGUCUCUACCAAAAAUACAAAAAUUAGACAGGUGUGGUGGCACACACCUACAGUCCCAGCUACUCGGGAGGCUGAGGCAGGAGAAUUGCUUGAACCUGGGAGGCAGAGGUUGCAGUGAGUCAAGAUUGUGCCACUGCACUCCAGCCUGGUGACAGAGCAAGACUCCGUCUCAAAAAAAAAAAAAAAAAACUUGACCUAAGAAGUGUACUAUACAUCCGUGUGACACAUACGUCUAUGUGUGCAAGUGUUUUCUACAUCAUGGUCAUUUGUAGGGAGGCUCACCUGCCCAGAGGUAAAUAAAAUUCAAGUUAUUCAAAACCAUGACAUUAAUGAAUUCAACCUUAAAACUAGCAUUAAAAAUAACAACAAACACUCAUGUUCAAGUGGGAACUUGAGCCACUGUCUUAAUGUUUCUUCCAAAACUCAGCAAAAACAGGUUCUUUAAAGUUGAUUUGAAUAUCUUUUGUUUAUUUUGUUUAUCACUUGAUUGGGACUAGAACAUUUUUGUUGCUGUGCCCUUUUUUUCGCAGUAUGUGUCAAUGCACAACAAUUCAGUUGGCUUUGACUGGCACUGGCAUUUUCUCCCAAUAUGGGCAUUUGCAAAUAAGAAGAACAAACCGCAUACAUGUAUAUGUACAUACCUUUACAUAUAAAGCUCAAGCACAACUAAAACCCCACUUUUGUGAAUGAGAUUUAAUCACUAUAUAUCACAUCUUAAAUAAGAAUUGUAUAAUCUUUAAAACAUCCUAGUACUGAGUCUCAUACUUAGAAGGUAUUCAAUAAAUGUUUGCUGUAGCAACCACAGAAGAUUUAGCUCACAAAAAGUCUAAGCGAUUAUCAAUAUAGCAGACCUUAGUAGGAACCCUUACUUAUUAUUUGAUUUCCAAAUAUGAAAUACAUUCAACAUCACCUUUGUUUUCUUCCAUGGAUUUCAAGAAGGUCUUAAGGGCUUUGGAGUUUCAGAGCCCCCCUUUUCUUAAAUUGCUUUUCUUCUAUGCUGUAUAUUAACCUAUGGUUUUAAAAGAUACUAAGCAUAUCCAAAUAAUCAUCUGAUUUUAUAAGAAGAGAGUUGUGUUCAUGGAAGUGUUUUUCCUACUACCAGUGAAAAGGAAGAAUUUUCUGAUAAUUGUCUGGCCAUCUGAGGGUCAGUGGAACAGAUUAACUGACAUCGACAUCUCAAAUCUCCUCAACAGGAAUACUUCUGAGCUGGUGUCCUUCACCCUUUCUAGGAACAAACAACUAAUUUUCAAAGCUAGCUUUAAGUAAUAUUGAUACGGAAGUGCUGGGAAGAGAAGAGUGUGGUCGCUAUAAAUGACAGGGAAGUGGGGGAAGAGAAGUGCUGGGUAGAGGAAGGGCGUGGCCCCUGGCUAGGGCUCCACCCCCACAGACCUAGGUGAGGACAGGCACUUCUGCCUUCGCUCCCAAAUGUUGCAUUUUCCAAGACCACACUGACCUGCCACGCCCCCAUCCUGGGCCUAUAAACACCCGAGACCCUAGCAAGACAGAGACAGAAGCAGCUGGAGGUCCAAAAGAGCACAUCGCGGCGGAGGAACGCACUGGCCCCAGCCCUGGCGUGCCGAUAGGCCACUGACCCGCAGAACGACGUGGAGUUUGCCGGGGCAGUCUGAGGAGAGCCAGGGCCGGUGGCGGACUCCAGGGGAAAACCAUCUCCCUUCUGGCUCCCCCAUCUGCUGAGAACUCCCCGAUAAAACCUGUGCACUCACUCCAUUCUUCAAGCCCACGUGUGAUCCGAUUCUUCCAGUCCACUAAGGCUAGAAACCUCAGGAUACAGAAAUUCCUCUGUCCUUGCGACAAGGUAGAGGGUCUAAUUGAGCUAACACAAGCUGCCUGUGGACGGCAAACUAAAAGAGCGCCCUGCAACAUAUUCCCACUGGGGCUUCAGGAGCUGUAAACAUUCACCCCUAGACACAGGCCGUGGGGUCGGAGCCCCACAGCCUGCCCGUCUGUGUGGUCCCCUAGAGAUUUGAGCAGCGGGGCUCUGAAGACGCCAGCCACUCCCCUGUCGUACACCCUGCUAGUCGGACAAGGGAAUCUUUCCUGUUUCAGUAUUUAACAAUGAUAGUCAUUCUUUGGGCAGAAGUUUUGAUGCUGCUUUGCUUCAACUAGUUUAAGUAGAUCUAUUCCUUGGUUAUCUAAAGAACCUGGUACUCCUCUCUCUUGCUCUCUUCCUCUUGCUGUGUGAUGCCUACUCUCCUUCGCCUUCUGUGAGUGGAAGCUCCCGGCAGCCCUCACCAGAAGCAGAUGCUGGUGCCGUGCUCCUUGUACAGCCUGCGGAACUGUGAGCCAAAUAAGCCUCUUUUCUUUAUAAAUAAGCCUCUUCCUUUAUAAAGAUCAAGAUUCAUGAAGCAAUAAGAGUAAUUUAUGUUAGUUUAGUUUGAACAUUUAUGACGCAGCCAACUAAGAAUCUCAUGAAAAUAUAUAUCAUGGAACUGAGCACCAUGUUCCUGGUCUUGUUCUUCCUAAUGUUUCUUCCAGACACAGACACAUAUGUUGUUGGGUUUCUGCAGGAGUCACUUGCAGAAGAGGAGAGCUCCCUAGGAGGGACUGAGCAUCAAAGAUGGGGUCUUGCUGUGUUGCCCGGACUGGUCUUGAAUUCCUAGACUCAAGUGAUCUUCCUGCCUUGGCCUCCCAAAAAGCUGGGAUGACAGGCAUGAGCCACGGAUCCUGGCCCGUUUUGUUCUUAAGUAAAAUUAAACUUGUUAGACAAAAAGAAAGAAACAAAAAAUCCAAGAAAUCAACCAAUAUCUCCUGGAACUAUUUUGAGUUAGAGCCAUGGGAAGAAUAUAAAUACAUCAGCGCGGACGAGGCUUCAAGAUGCCUGACAAGAGGCGCCCAGCACUGGCCUCCUCCACAAAGAACCAAAACCGCGAGUAGAAAAACGCACGUUGAAUAGAGCCUGUCGGAGACCACACUAGAAUUCAGCAGGAAAGUGACAAGGGACCCUGGGGGCAGGGAAGGAGAGGGCAGCAAAGCAGCCAGGCAGCCAGGAUUGGCUGGGGGAGAAGAGAUGGAAUCUGUCUACGUUGCCCUGGCUGAUCUCAAGCAUUAUCAUUAUCUAUGUUGCUCUGGUCCUGGCCUCAAGCAAUCCUCCUGCCUCAGCCUCCCAAAGUGCUGGGAUUACAGGUAUGAGCCUGGCAGAAUUUGGAUAUUUACUAAAGCGCUAUUCACAAUAGCCAAGAUACAGAAUCAACCUAAGCGUCCACAGAGAGAUGAGUGGAUAAAGAAAAUGUGGUAAAUAUACACAAUGGAGUACCAUUCAGCCAC